rnacentral:lncRNA from 1 species
GGGGGCGGGGCCGAGGGGACGUCGGGGGCGGGGCCAGGACGUAAGCCGCAGGCCGAGCGCAGUAUGGCUGCCGGGGGCGCGGCCCUGGGGCCCGCGGCUGGCGCUGCGACUCUCAGCCCCAUACACCGCGGACCUUCCUGGAGCCAGGACGCGGGUCAAGUGUGUAGAGCCGAUGACCAGGUCGGCGCAGCCGAGGAACCUGCAUCGUGUGGCGAAUGGACAGCUAAGGAGGGAGCAAAGCAUCCACCCCCUCUGAAGAAGUGAGAAUCAGACUGGCCAUUUCCCAUGCUGGGGUAUGUGAAAAGAUAGACCGAAGCGUAUUUUCGGAUAUUCAAGAGUUUCUUUGAACAAAAAAAAAACACCGAUUUGGAUGAGGCAGCAUCCAGCCCGGCGGCCAGAAUGGCGUUCACGGGAGCUGUGCAAAAUGAAGGACUUCGGGGCAUCAGGGAGUGGGAACGAGAAAGUCAGACUAGCCACGAAGUGAGAAAGUGAGUCUGUCGAUUGCCAAGUUACUUACCUUUAGGGGGUGGCGGGGAUCUUGUCACGCAGACACCUAACUAGUGCGUGAUCGGCUGGUGCAAGAUUCUGUCUGGGACAAAUGAAACUCACGGGGAGGAAGAAUUAGGAAGGUCCUUCUAGCUAGACGAGAAUCAAAUGGACAUGAGGCAGGUUAACAGGAGAAAACCAAAUUUAACACCACGUACAGGGAAUCAAAUCCAAGAGUAAUAGUGUGCAUAUGGGGGAAUCUGCACAGACAUGGAAAUUCCAAAGGCAGGAAGCAGGAUGCUUAUAUGAGCUUAGGAGAGGGCUGGGGGUCUGAGGAUACAAAGGGAGGGAGACCACUACUGGGAAGGUGAAGGAGAGAGGUUUGGAAAACAAAGGUGACCUAUUAUGCAAAUAAGUUUCUUAGGUAAAGAGGCAGCUCUAUGAAUAGCUCACUUCCUAGUAAGGCCUGCAGUUGAGGGGGAAGUAAAAAGUUUUUUCUGGAUCUGCUGGGUUUGGAUUGUUUUUAACUCAAAAUGAUGUUCAUGCCAAAGCGGCUUAUCUUGGGGCGAUCUGCCAUUGGCCCCUACACUAAUUCUCAGUUUGGUGAAGUGAGGCUUAACCUAAGCAACUUCAUUUAGGACCCAUUGUCUUGUUUUUUUUUGUUUGUUUUGUUUUGUUUUUUGACAAAUAACAGACACAGAUAAGAGACAGAUAAAACCAGCUGCAAAGGUAAAGGAAACAAUAUUUCUUUUUUUUUUUUAUUUUUAUUUAUUGAUGAUAGUCACAGAGAGAGAGGGAGAGGCAGAGACACAGGCAGAGGGAGAAGCAGGCUCCACGCACCGGGAGCCCGACGUGGGAUUCGAUCCCGGGUCUCCAGGAUCGCGCCCUGGGCCAAAGGCAGGCGCCAAACCACUGCGCCACCCAGGGAUCCCUGACCACCGCUUUCUUACUUAGAAUCCUUGUUCUCUAAAAUCAUGUGUCAGAAAACUUACUGUUUAAAGUCGUAUCAAUAAGAAUGAAACAUCCUGUUCUUCCUAUUUUGCAUGAUCUAAGUGAAUUUCAAAGAAGCAGCCUUUAUCUCCAUUUUACCUAAAAAGCCUCUAAUAAAGGCUUUCUGAACAUAUUCA